GACGAACGCUGGCGGCGUGCUUAACACAUGCAAGUCGAACGCGCCUGUCCUCUGGGUUUCUGGGGGGUGGGUGAGUGGCGAACGGGUGAGUAACACGUGAGUAACCUGCCCCCUUCUUCGGGAUAACGGUCGGAAAGGGCUGCUAAUACCGGGUAUUCACUGGUCUCCGCAUGGGGUCUGGUGGAAAGGUUUUUUUCUGGUGGGGGAUGGGGUCGCGGCCUAUCAGCUUGUUGGUGGGGUGAGGGCCCACCAAGGCUUUGACGGGUAGCCGGCCUGAGAGGGUGACCGGUAACAUUGAGACGGUGCUACGGCCUAGGGUAGUACGGGGGGCAGAAGUGGGGAAUAUUGCACAAUGGGCGCACGCGUGAUGCCGCGUCGGCGCGUGAGGGAUGGGGGCCGUAGAGUUGUGAACCUCUUUAGGCCGUGGUCAAGCCGCGACGUGGGUCGUGGUGAGGGUAGUGGGUAAAGAAGCGCCGGCUAACUACGUG
rnacentral:rRNA from 1 species